rnacentral:rRNA from 1 species
AUACGGAGGGUCCAAGCGUUAUCCGGAAUCAUUGGGUUUAAAGGGUCCGCAGGCGGUCAAUUAAGUCAGAGGUGAAAGCCCAUCGCUCAACGAUGGAACUGCCUUUGAUACUGGUUGACUUGAGUGAACGCGAGGUGUGCGGAAUGAGUAGUGUAGCGGUGAAAUGCUUAGAUAUUACUCAGAACACCGAUUGCGAAGGCAGCAUACUAGAGUUUAACUGACGCUGAUGCACGAAAGCGGGGGUAGCGAACAGGAUUAGAAACCCCAGUAGUCC